GAUGAACGCUGGCGGCGUGCCUAAUACAUGCAAGUCGAGCGAACAGACGAGGAGCUUGCUCCUCUGACGUUAUAGGCGGAAGGGUGAGUAAAACGUGGAUAACAUACCUCUAAGACUGGGAUAACACCGGGAAACAGGAGCGAUAACAGGAUAAAAUAUUAAACCGCAUGGUUCAAAUGUGAAAGACGGUUUUGUUGUAACACUUAGAUAGAUCCGCGCCGCAUUAGCUAGUUGGUAAGGUAAAGGCUUACCAAGGCAACGAUGCGUAGCCGACCUGAGAGGGUGAUCGGCCACACUGGAACUGAGACACGGUCCAGACUCCUACGGGAGGCAGCAGUAGGGAAUCUUCCGCAAUGGGCGAAGGCCUGACGGAGCAACGCCGCGUGAGUGAUGAAGGUCUUCGGAUCGUAAAACUCUGUUAUUAGGGAAGAACAGAUGUGUAAGUAACUAAGCACUUCUUGACGGUACCUAAUCAGAAAGCCACGGCUAACUACGUG
rnacentral:rRNA from 1 species